GUUAAAGUGCUAGCGGUGAGAGAUGGCCUCGCGUCUGAUUAGUUAGUUGGUGGGGUAACGGCCUACCAAGACGACGAUCAGUAACCGGCCUGAGAGGGUGAACGGUCACAUUGGAACUGAGACACGGUCCAAACUCCUACGGGAGGCAGCAGUGGGGAAUCUUGCACAAUGGGGGAAACCCUGAUGCAGCGACGCCGCGUGAGCGAUGAAGGUUUUCGAAUCGUAAAGCUCUGUCCUAUGGGAAGAUAAUGACGGUACCAUAGGAGGAAGCCCCGGCUAACUACGUGCCAGCAGCCGCGGUAAUACGUAGGGGGCGAGCGUUGUCCGGAAUUACUGGGCGUAAAGGGUUCGCAGGCGGCAUGACAAGUCNGAUGUAAAAGGCGAAAGCUCAACUUUCGUAAGCAUCGGAAACUGUCAAGCUUGAGUGAAGGAGAGGCAAGUGGAAUUCCUAGUGUAGCGGUGGAAUGCGUAGAUAUUAGGAGGAAUACCGGUGGCGAAGGCGACUUGCUGGACUUCAACUGACGCUGAGGAACGAAAGCGUGGGUAGCAAACAGGAUUAGAUACCCUGGUAGUCCACGCCGUAAACGAUGAGUGCUAGGUGUCGGGGGUCAAACCUCGGUGCCGUCGUUAACACACUAAGCACUCCGCCUGGGGAGUACGUGCGCAAGCAUGAAACUCAAAGGAAUUGACGGGGACCCGCACAAGCAGCGGAGCAUGUGGUUUAAUUCGAAGCAACGCGAAGAACCUUACCAGGACUUGAAAUACUAGCGCCCACUUUAGAGAUAAAGUUUUUUCUUCGGAAACGCUAAUACAGGUGGUGCAUGGUUGUCGUCAGCUCGUGUCGUGAGAUGUUGGGUUAAGUCCCGCAACGAGCGCAACCCUUACUUCUAGUUGCCAGCACGUAAUGGUGGGAACUCUAGAGGGACUGCCGAUGAUAAAUCGGAGGAAGGUGGGGAUGACGUCAAAUCAUCAUGCCCUUUAUGUCCUGGGCUACACACGUGCUACAAUGGUCGGUACAGAGGGCAGCGAAAGAGCGAUCUCAAGCGAAUCUCAAAAAACCGAUCCCAGUUCGGAUUGCAGGCUGCAACUCGCCUGCAUGAAGUC
rnacentral:rRNA from 1 species